GACCCGCGCUUUCGAAGCGCGGGAUUAUCUCCUUUGUAAUUAUUUAUCUUGUAUUUAAACAAAGUUGUAUAUAAAACAAUAUAAAUAGAAGUCAUAUAUUAGUUACAUGCAUUUAUAUAUUGUAAACAAUAUCUAUACAAUUUUAAAAAUAUAUAAAUACAAUGGCCACUCUAAAUACAAAGAAAUAAAUAACACCUUUUUUGACAAAAGAAAUAAAUACUCACCAUUUUUAAGCAAAUGUUUGGUACAUUUUAAAAUAAAUACUCAUCAGCUAUAUAAUUGUUUUUGGUACAUUUAACGUAAACAAAAUUAAAAUGGGCCAGCAUAUUAAUUGAAAAAGAAAAAUUAUGCAAAGCCUACAUCAAACCACAUACAUAAAAAAUUGGCCCAACCACAGUAGUUAUCUUUUGAUGUCAACCGACAACAUUAACAAAAAAAAGAAAACAAUCUUCUUUCAGGCAUCAGUUUGCAAACUCAAAAAAAAAAGAUUUGCUUUAAUGGCGAUUGUAGAGAGUUAUCGAGUCAUGGACGAUCAUGGACGAUCUAAUUCAGCUUCAUCUCCGGGAUCUGAGGCAGUCAAAGAAAGAUCAAUCUGAACUCAUUUGUUUUGGUAUUCAUCUUGGAGUUUUGUCACUUGAUAUGCCAUGCUCCAAUUGGAAGAAGGUUGUACAUGUUCCAAAUACAUUUAUAAUAUUUACAUCAUUUAGAAUAAUAACUUUUUAAUAAAAACGUGAAUGAAAAAUUUAGGAUUGCUUACAUUCUCAUCCA